rnacentral:lncRNA from 1 species
AAAUCUUUAGAUAACUUUACUACAGCAUGGUUUUUUGUUGAGUUUUCAUCUUAUAAAAGAAGUUAGCAUCAGCAUACUCAAGGACUGGACACAUAUAUGCAUUUAUUUUUAUGCUCCUGAUGACUAGGACUGCUAAAACAUUAUAGUCUUGAAAAUCCUAAUAGAGGAGAACGUAUUACUACUUUUCGCUCUACUGUCGGUUUUAGGCUUACCUGUUGACUCAAACUGCU